GGGGAUGUUUUUGGAUUCGACGGGUAUAGGUCGAGCUCCAACUGCGUUUCGAAGGUUGCGUCUUCGUAAAAACGCUCAGUUUUAAAUUAUAACUGGCAAACAAUAAUUCACAAUCUUACGCAUACGCUGCCUAACAAGUAGCGCGCGUAAAUCCGGCCGGGCUCGUCCAUGGUGCGGUACCGGGUUUUAUCUACAGUGGACUACGUUUGAGAUUGCCGCUUGAGGUCUUUAAAAAAAGAGUUUUGCAAGCUAGCCGUCCCUGGUAGCCUUGAUUAACGGCGUUUGGUGCGGUGAAGUUUAAGUAGUUGAUCUAUGAACGUAGAGGUUGAAGCGGCGAUAUGCUCGGACGCGGGUUCGAAUCCCGCCAUCUCCACUU
rnacentral:tmRNA from 1 species